UCAGUAUUUCCAUUCAUAUCUUAAAUAUUUAAACAAGUCAUGUUGAAAUGAAAUAUACAUGUAAACUAGCUAAACCCCUAUCUCUUAUGACAGUUUGUACAAUCCCGGACUGCUAUGUUUAUAAUCAUUAGGGAUCCUGGGCACCCACAACUUGCCAACUCUAAAAUACCAGCAUUGAGAGAUGACCACUUUCAGCAAAUUUUGUUUGACAUAUUGAAUUUGUAUGUUACCUGUUUGGCAAAAAGAAAAGAAAACAACAGUAACAUAAAACAAAAAGAAACAAAAAAAACCCAAAAAAAUAAUAAAAAACAAAAACAGCAUAAUACAUGUUUUGUUGUGUGAAAGAAGUUUUUCUUAAUUGUUGAAUAAGAUAUGUAAUUAGUCCCCUACUGGUUUACUGGAGGGGACUUUAGGUUUACCCUCCGUCCGUCUGUCCGUCCGUCCGUCCGUCCGUCUGUCAGUCCGUCAGUCCGUCCGUCCACAAAACUGGAUCCCGCGAUAACUUGAAAAGUACUGAAAAUAUUUUUAUGAAACUUGGUAUAUGGAUAGAUGGCAGUAUGGAGAUUAUGCACGUCUUUUUCUUUUCUUCCUAUGUUGAAAAUUCUGGUUGCUAUGGCAACAAAUAGGCUGAAAAUAUGGCAAAUUUUACACAUAAACUGGAUCCAGUGAUAACGCAAAAAGUACUGGAAAUAUUUUUAUGAAACUUGACAUAUGGGUAGAUGGCAGUCUUGAGAUUAUGCACGUCUUUUUCUUUUCUUCCUAUGUUGAAAAUUCUGGUUGCUAUGGCAACAAAUAGGCUGAAAAUAUGGCAAAUUUUACACAUAAACUGGAUCCAGUGAUAAAGCAAAAAGUACUGGAAAUAUUUUUAUGAAACUUGACAUAUGGGUAGAUAGCAGUGUUGAGAUUAUGCAUGUCUUAUCUGUUCUUCCUAUUUUGAAAAAAUAUCAGUUGCCUUGGCAACAAAUAGGCUUAAAACAUGGCAAAUAUAACAAUAUUUGUGAUUAGUCAAAAAGAGCUGAACAUUUUUUAUGAAAUUGCAUCUUUAAUUCAAGAGUUAUCUCCUGUUUAAGAAUUUUGCUUUUAAAAUGUUAUAUUUUGGUAACAGGGAUGUUUCAAAUAUUAACUUUAGAGUGUCCUUCAGUCCGUCUGUCUGUUCAUAAAAGCUGUUUCCUGUGAUCACUUUUAAAGAACUUUUCCAACAAAUUUACUUAAAAUAGAGAAAAAUUGAAACAUUAGUGAAUGGCCCUUCAGAUUGUUGAUGGGGUUCUAACCGGUAGGGGACUUAUGGAUUGCUUGCAAUACUAUGAUAAUUGCUUGUUCUAAUUGUUUUGUCUCAGUAGUGCAAUCAGAAAACAAUUUAAUAUCUUCCAUGAGCUCCUCUGUCCAUAAGGAUUCAUGGUCCUCAUCUCCGAAUCCGUCAUUUAACAAUUUAUAGUCCAUUCUCUUACUUCUAGAAGGCAAUAAUUUUUUCUUCGCCUGUUCCUUCUCCUUGGAAGACAUCUUAGUCAAAAAUACAAACUGCUUACUCGGCAAGAAGUACAGAAUAAAGUUUAUUCGUAUUCAAUGAAAUAAUUACUAAAUACGAAAACUCCUCUCGAUUUGCACAAUAAGAAAUCUGAUGAACAAUACACCAGUCCAUAAAACAAAUAAAUUUUCAACUUAAGUUGAACAAUUCUGUAAAAUAACCUUUCAAUAAACUUUUAGUUAAUUAGAAUCUCAACAUGUGAUCUACUUGUCAAACAAAUACAGAA